UACAGAGGGUGCAAGCGUUGCUCGGAUUUACUGGGCGUAAAGCGUACGCAGACGGAUCGUCAAGUCAGGAGUGAAAGCCCUGGGCUCAACCCCAGGAACGGCUUUUGAUACUAGCGGUCUUGAGUUUGGGAGAGGGAAGCGGAAUUCCUGGUGUAGAGGUGAAAUUCGUAGAUAUCAGGAGGAACACCGGCGGCGAAGGCGGCUAUCUGGACGGUUUCUGACGCUAAGACGCGAAAGCGUGGGGAGCAAACAGG
rnacentral:rRNA from 1 species